CGAAAAUCCGUUGGUUUCACCGUGAGGGUUCGACUCCCUCUAUCCCCA
rnacentral:tRNA from 1 species